rnacentral:rRNA from 1 species
UGGGGAAUAUUGCACAAUGGGCGCAAGCCUGAUGCAGCCAUGCCGCGUGUGUGAAGAAGGCCUUCGGGUUGUAAAGCACUUUCAGCGAGGAGGAAGGUGGUGAGCUUAAUACGCUCAUCAAUUGACGUUACUCGCAGAAGAAGCACCGGCUAACUCCGUGCCAGCAGCCGCGGUAAUACGGAGGGUGCAAGCGUUAAUCGGAAUUACUGGGCGUAAAGCGCACGCAGGCGGUUUGUUAAGUCAGAUGUGAAAUCCCCGGGCUCAACCUGGGAACUGCAUUUGAAACUGGCAAGCUAGAGUCUCGUAGAGGGGGGUAGAAUUCCAGGUGUAGCGGUGAAAUGCGUAGAGAUCUGGAGGAAUACCGGUGGCGAAGGCGGCCCCCUGGACGAAGACUGACGCUCAGGUGCGAAAAGCGUGGGGCAGCAAACAGGAUUAGAUACCCUGGUAGUCCACGCUGUAAACGAUGUCGAUUUUGGAGGUUGUCGCCCUUGAGGCGUGGCUUCCGGAGCUAACGCG